CAGAAAAGCGUAUGGGAAUGCACCUGAAUUUAAUUGGCUUCAGUGUGGAUGCGUGGGAGUUGAUGAUCGACAUUUUCUACAAUAAAGAUAUGUGUAACGCACCGAGCAACGCUUCAUUUAGUGAGGAAAUGGCAAGGUCACUACAACUUUCACAAACACUGAGGCUUUGGAGAUUUACACACCUGACAUGAAAAUGGGAAUUCGUGAAACACUGAGCAGUUUCUGAUCCAUGUCAAGAUUCAUUUCCAGUGAGCCGGUUGUGCUGGAAAAUUUGUAAGACUUUAUGCCUUCAAUUUGUAGAAUGUUUAAGGUGUUUAAUGUUAAACUGUUAUGAGGCAUUGUUUAAAUGUUUAAAGUGUUUAAAGUAGUUUCAUAAGCUCUUACUUCGUGUGAGAAUGUUAAAUUCAAGUGAAAUUGUGAUUAACAUUGGGUGAGGAACUCUCCCAACUUUUAUAUUGGUGUUUUUGGAGAUAUUUGUAAAAUAUGUUUUCUAAACUUUUUAUUAAAAAUAAUUAUUUUCUAAUGUCUACUGUGCAAUUGUAUGCAGACCAUUUCUGUAUGUUUACAAUUUUAAGGUAUUACAAAUAAAUAAAAAAUGAAUAAAAUGUUACAAAAUAGUUUGUGUGUUUCUUUUUCUAUUAGGACAACGGGAAAUAAACAAUUCAGCAUGGUUCCUUACCAAUAUAAUUUUACCAAUAUACAUUUUCAGAUUGGGUAAAUUAAAAAAAGAAUGCUACCACAAUUUUAAAAAGUUAA